rnacentral:rRNA from 1 species
UACAACGGCGGAUUUGUAGUAUCCUCUGAGCGUAGUAAUUUUUUUCUCGCUUUUGUUAGGUGCUAUAACUCCCAGCCGCUAAACCCCCAAUUUUUUGUGGUUGACCUCGGAUCAGGUAGGAAUACCCGCUGAACUUAAGCAUAUC